UGACAGUGGCGCAAGGGUGAGUAACACGUGAGUAAUCUGCCCGAAGUCGGGAUAGCCAGGGGGGGUGGAUUAAUACCGGAUGUGGCUGUAUGAACUGCGGUUUUAACAGUUAAAGAUUCAUUGCUUCGGGAUGAGCUCGCGGUCCAUCAGCUUGUUGGUGAGGUAAUGGCUCACCAAGGCGACGACGGAUAGCUGGUCUGAGAGGAUGACCAGUCACACUGGGACUGAGACACUGCCCAGACUCCUACGGGAGGCUGCAGUCGAGAAUCUUCCGCAAUGGGCGCAAGCCUGACGGAGCAAUGCUGCGUGCCGGAUGAAGGCCUUCGGGUCGUAAACGGCUGUCACUCGGGACGAAUUUUGACGGUACCGAGAGAGGAAGCCACGGCUAACUACGUGCCAGCAGCCGCGGUAAUACGUAGGUGGCGAGCGUUAUUCGGAAUUAUUGGGCCUAGAGGGUUCGUAGGGGGUAAUGUGAGUCCGGUGUGAAAUCUCGAGGCUCAACCUCGAAACUGCAUUGGAAACUGCGUAACUUGAGUGUCAGAGAGGAAAGCGGAAUUCCUGGUGUAGCGGUGGAAUGCGUAGAUAUCAGGAAGAACACCGACGGGGAAGGCAGCUUUCUGGCUGACAACUGACCCUGAUGAACGAGAGCUAGGGUAGCGAACAGGAUUAGAUACCCUGGUAAUCCUAGCUUGUAAACGUUGUGCACUGGAUGUGGG
rnacentral:rRNA from 1 species